rnacentral:rRNA from 1 species
CCUACGGGAGGCAGCAGUGGGGAAUAUUGGACAAUGGGCGCAAGCCUGAUCCAGCCAUGCCGCGUGAGUGAUGAAGGCCUUAGGGUUGUAAAGCUCUUUCGCCGGUGAAGAUAAUGACGGUAACCGGAGAAGAAGCCCCGGCUWACUUCGUGCCAGCAGCCGCGGUAAU